CAUCUGACGAAAGGCUGUAUUUCCCAGCUGCCAGGUCAAGCCUGGGCAGCCCCCAGCUUGAUGACACCCUGUGGCCUCUCUGUGCACACUGGUUUCUUUGUGACCUCCUCCCCCAGGACCUUGAAUGGGAUGCUGGACAUUCUUCCUGAGAAACCCGAAGAGGAUAUUAAAAAGACAGCCACAGUUUUCCUACCACUUGCUGCCAGCUUUCUUGGGGGCCAGCUGUUGGGAGAAAAGUCCAGCGUGGGGUUAAGUGGUACGCCUGAGAGCUUGGCAAGCGGGGAGUUGAGAUGAGAACCCAGCCGUUAGAUUCCCGGUCUGUCUUACACGGAAGGGCCAGACACAGAAAACCACCCCUCUGCAUGGCCAAGCCGACCAGGAGUAGGGAUCCCUGUCUCUGAGCAAGACCUUCAUCUCUCUGAAACUCAGUUUCCAGGUUUGUAAGAUGUGCUUGUCACGGGACAUUGUUGUGAGGAUUCAGUAAAAGAGUGGCCAUAGAAGAGCUUUUUGGGUUGUACAUACCUGAGGGAUUUGGGUGUCAGUGGAGGGGGUGGCUCCCUUUUCCGUG
rnacentral:lncRNA from 1 species